rnacentral:lncRNA from 1 species
GCAGGCCACAUUAACGUCAAUUCAAGUUAAUGCAAGUUAAACUGGCAGAUCUGCCCUUUAUCAUGAUUGAUUGAAGCCUGGGCCAAUGAGGUGAGGGGCAGGCCAAUUACGCCUACCCCUCCAUCUCAGCCUCCGUUGGUGACUUGGUUGGUUAGCCACUGCUAGCAGGCAGAUCGAAAACGGGCAAUAUGGACCCUAGUGGGAAGAAAAGAAAGGGUGGCGCUGAAAGAGCCAGGGACCAGAAAAAAGCAGCCCUUCAGGCAGAUGCUACGAAAUGCCUAAAAAUAGCUCAUAUGUUUGCUGCUCGUGGACAUGGAGCCUCCACAUCUGCAGCAGCAGCAUCAACAGGUAGUGGAGGAGAAGAUGCUCGACAGCAGGUGGACGAGGCGGCCAUGACGCGUGGACGAGAUUGACGAUGAGAGCAGAGGGAGGCUGUUAAUUCUUGACGACAGCGGGUUCGAAGAAUUUGUAGACGACACAGGUGGACGGAGAAUUUCCCUCGUCGUUUCAAGUCAGUCGACGCGAAACUGGCUUUAUCGGCCAAACAUCACCGGCGGGCGUCCAGCAGAGCAAAGCAAAGGCAGGCGGACCGACUGUUCACGGAGAGGACAACCUAACGGAGAGAUUACCGAGUCAUUAUUUAGGUGGGUAAAAAGCGGUCGAAGCUAGAGGUUAGAAGAAUAAUAUAAACGCAUUGCACGUUUAGUUAACCAGUUUCGAAUAGAAGGAAGACAGCAGGGAUUAGUGAAUGAUGUGGUGAUAGGCCGGCCACAACACAAACACAUUCGAAAAUAAUGGUAAAGGAAUGAGUUGGCAACCGUGGCGUCCAAAUUAUGAAGCGUCUUACAAGAGACAGGGUGACUGUCUUUUCCUUUUUCCCCACUUUUCUACUUUUUUUAUGAAUACCACACUUGAGUUUUCAAUUUUUUUUGUUGCCUCACAGCCAGGCAUGCGGAAAGAGACUUUGCUCGGGGACGGAGAGAAAAUACGUGCAGUGUAGGCGUGCCAUUGAUGUUGGGUCUGGGGCUGUGAGGCCUGCUUUGUUGCUGCGCGUCUGGCUCCAGCAGCUCAUAAAAGUGCAAGGCCAAAGCUCAUCACCAGUUCGUCAUCGUUUGGCAUGUACAACUCAAAGCACAAAUGUGUCUGCCUUUCUUCACUUAUGUUAGCCACAUGCUACAUCUUAUUUUGUUGCCAAGUUUUUUAUUACAUCCAUGAAAUGGUUCGUUUUCUUGUGUGUUUCGGACAAGACAGUGGCAUCUAUGGAAUUAUUUUUUUUAAUUGCAACUGAACACACAUGGAAACAUCCCAACGCAUAUGACCCAUUCAUGAUCAUGAGCUCAAGACAACGUAGUCGUUAAUAAUAGGAUAGGCUACAUAUUACACAAGGACUAAUACAUAUUUUACACAUCUACAUUUUUGUAGACAGUAUUUUUUUUGUGCUGACGUUCUCUGUUAAUAUAAUACGGAUCGUUCUUUGUUAUAGGUUACAAGAAGCCACCUGGCUGACUGAGGGAAACAACGGUUGGCUGCUGUCUGCUAAAGCCGAUAGCAGGAACGCAGCCCUUACACUAAGCACCAAACUCUGGAGCUGGAGAAGGAGUUUCCCUUACAACAUGUAUUUAUCGACAAACAGCGCCGCCUAUGAGAUCAGCCAAAACCUUGACCUAACAGACAGGCAGUUCAAAUCUGGUGUCCAGAAUCGCAGAAUGAAGAUGAAGAAGCAACACCGAAGUUCCAGGGAUACUGUGAAAACAAAACAGUGAAAACUGAUUAAACCAAGGACAUAGAAGACUGACCCUCUGAUUCAUUGACUGAAUGACAAAAUCAUUAAGUUAUUCAAAGCAUACAAUAGACACACGCACGCACGCACGCCACACACACACACAACACACACCACACACAACACACACACACACACACACACACACACACACACACACACACACACACACACACACACACACACUCAUACAAAGAUAUAUAAUCAAACACUUAAUAACACACGUUUAAUUCUGUUCCGUGUCACUUGUCCGUUUCAUCAUUGUUAUAUGGAAAUUCCAUUUAUAAUGUAGGCCUACUUUAUAUCCUGUGGGAGCUAGAAUUCAAUUUUUAAUUAAUAAGUUUAUUAGCUUGUCUUUUUGAUGCCCACUUUGAAUUAGCGCACAAUUGGUCACCUUUUUGCUUAUAGUAUUUAGUAAGGCUCCACAUCUAGUACAUUCAGCACUUUUAAAAUAGUCUUGAACAUUGCGUUUCUACGUCUCCAGUGAAGUCAGAGGGGAGCUUUUUGGAUUCCACUGCGUAAAGACAUUAGAACAAAUAUAGUAAUCCCUUGCUGACCCAGCACUUGUGUUACGUAUUGGUACUUGUUACAUCAGAAUAGCAUUGUUUUGCAUGUGUUUAAUUUACACCCAAUAUGUGGCACACAUUUGAUAUAUGCAUGUAUUGCCUGAUAGAAUGCCGGAUAGAUUGAUAACACACAUUCAAUUCGGCUUUCCAAUUUAAUGAUUAAAAUCUUCCAAUGCUUUUUUCCUCGAAGGAAUGUAUUAAUAAAGGAACGCCUAUUCAAAGUUCAGAAAGUGGAGACUUAUUGCACACACUACUUUGCAAACUGAUGCACAGUGCUAUCUAGCUAUUCAUUAAAAAUGUAAAGUAGGACACUGAUAUUCCGUUCGCUAAAUGAAGUGUAGCCUACCGGAUAUUAAACUUUCAUAUUCAGAUCCAGAGGCCACACUGACCAAAUAUUCAAUAAUGAGAGUCUUGAUUAGAGAGAGCCUCAUUGACGUCUAUCUUCAGGUAAUAUUCAAGCUCAUUUAUUUUUUAUUUAUAGUUUUAAUUGAACCAACUUGAGUGUAAAGAUUGCAUUGCCAAAUCAUAGGUUUGAUCUUAUUGUGGUGCCGUAUUCAUCACGGAGAAGCAGUAGAAUUGUAUUGAAAGUGCGGCAUUAAAAAAUAUAGCAUCGGCAUACCAUUCUAAGAUUACAAAUGGGUAUUAUUCUUACAGACGGAUUCAGCCCGAUCUAUCGUGGUCCAAAUGAAGUAUCUAUGUAAAGGCAUAUUAAACAUGGGUUAUUAUUAUUAUUAUUAUUAUUAUUAUUAUUAAUAGAAGAAGUAGUAGUCUAGUAGUAUACAGUAGAAGUAGUAGUAGUGGUAGAAGAGGCAUAGUAUUAGUAUUAUUAUAUAAACUGUUGUAGUAAUACACCUAUUACGUACUGGAUGAUAUCGUAGCCUACGUUUAAAACAAAUAGUAUUAUAACAAAGAAACUUCAUUAUUCAUUUGAUCAAUGUAGCCUACUUAGCUACCAGCCCAAUCUAUACAUUUAAUUAAAGGAAACAACUAAAUAAAUACUUUAUUCACACAUUGAAUUAUGUAAAAUUUAGGUGAGAGGCUUGGUUUGACCUAGCCUUUUAGUUUUUUGUUUGUUUUUGUUGUUUGAGUGUAUUUCGGGAAAGCCUACUUCUUCUGACUUCUAUAGCGAAAUUCCAUGGACAUCCUGAAGACGCGUGAAGUUGAAAAGCCAAGGUGCAGAUGGCUCACGAGACAUCCGCUUUCCGUGUCUCUGUUUGUGCGAGCGAGAGUAAUAAAAAAAAAACCUUAGGUCCACAGCCACAAAAACACACGCCCAUAAACAUAUUCACACAUUCUUUCUCUUGUUGUCUGCUUUUUGUAAUUGUUUGUACCUGGAAGUCCAAAAGCAGACUCUGGAAUUAUUCAUACGAUUUCAUAAAUUAUUGAGAAUGCCCGAAAGGGGAAGAGCUUCGUUUUUGGAUGGAGUAAAUUUAUUUCCAGUUAUUGAUUUAAUACGUGGUUGAGUGUCAGUGGAAAGAGUGCGUUUUAUGAAUUAUUAACCAUUCAUAACCAUGGCAUGAUCCCAUUUUUUCGCCG